AGAGUUUGAUCAUGGCUCAGGAUGAACGCUAGCGGCAGGCUUAAUACAUGCAAGUCAAGGGGGUAGCAAUACAACCGGCGCACGGGUGAGUAACGCGUACACAACAUGCCAUAUACUGGGGUAUAGCUUUGGGAAACUGAAGGUAAUCCCCCAUAACAUUGCGAGAGGGCAUCUGAUUGCAAUUAAAGUUUCGGCGGUAUAUGAUUGGUGUGCGUUUGAUUAGCUAGUUGGUAGGGUAACGGCCUACCAAGGCGACGAUCAAUAGCUGGCGUGAGAGCGCGACCAGCCACACUGGAACUGAGACACGGUCCAGACUCCUACGGGAGGCAGCAGUAGGGAAUAUUGGACAAUGGAGGAAACUCUGAUCCAGCCAUGCCGCGUGAUAGAUGAAGGCCCUCUGGGUUGUAAAUAUCUUUUAUCUGGGAAGAAACUCCUCUAUUCUUAGGGGCCUGACGGUACCAGAGGAAUAAGCACCGGCUAACUCCGUG
rnacentral:rRNA from 1 species